rnacentral:rRNA from 1 species
UACGGAGGGUGCAAGCGUUGCUCGGAAUUAUUGGGCGUAAAGGGUAGGUAGGUGGUCUCAUUUGUCUGGGGUGAAAGCCUUGAGCUUAACUCAAGAAGUGCCCCAGAAACGGUGAGACUAGAGUUCUGGAGAGGGUCGUGGAAUUCCCGGUGUAGCGGUGAAAUGCGUAGAGAUCGGGAGGAACACCAGAGGCGAAGGCGGCGACCUGGACGGAUACUGACACUCAACUACGAAAGCGUGGGGAGCAAACAGG